CUAAAUUACCUUAAGUCACCUUUUUUUUAACCUCUACUUAGCAGUCUGCUUUUAUCGUUUAUCUAGUUCCACCGAUUGCACUUUGAGUCUUAAGCUCUGACUCGAACAUUAAAGAACCCCACCUCGUGCUAUAUUUUAUUUCAAUUUCUGCCUUCCACAACUAAAAUAGGUAAAACCCGAGUGAAAUUUAAAUACUCCGAGUUAUAUCACGAGGUCCCACGAUUUCGGCUUACGCGCAAUUUUCCACCGUCCCCGGUGACGAGGGAAAUCGCACACAGACCAAACAAGUUUUUCUCCACAUCCAACAUGUAUUAUAUAUUUAUAUACAUAUACUCGUAUAUAUGUAGAUACCUUUAACAUCCGAUCGGCUUAUGAAAAUUGACGGAUGACUAGAAAAUUGAUUUUCGCUUGCGCAACUCCCGUCUGGAGACUAAGAUUAGGACACCUUGAACCAUUUAUAUUCUUAUUUUUACUAACCCUCCCCACUAAUCCGCUCUUGAGAAAUUUUUUCGCUUGGCUCGGCCCAAAAAAAAACGAAGAAACUUCUGAGACCCCUUUUUUUAGAGUUUCUUCUCCGGAUUAAUUUUGUAACUUUCUUAUGAAAGUCUUGGGCAAUUCAGGGCCCCCACUUGUACAGCAUUCAAUCGGGACGGGGCUGUUGAGCUGGAUUAGAAAUGCAUUCGGCUGUGAACGAAAAUCUGAGGUAUACUGCCGAGAAACGUAAAGAAAUCGGUAACCAGUCGUGUGUACCAGCUCUCCGGCGGAGGUGGAAAACGAGAGCGAGUCGAAUUUUCGGUUGGUUAGCUGGAUUAAUACGCGAGACCGUGGAAAAUAGGGGCACCGGCAUUGUCAGCAUAACUCCUAGCAGGAUCAUCACAAGUGAAAACAAAACAUAAAAGGAAGCUAGCUUUGGCAAAUACACGGUGCGUCCAUUAAGUUUCGAGACUGAUUCCAUAAAUCGCAAAAUAAACAAGAUAUUUCAAGUUUUUCAAAUUUAUUAUUUGAAGUAUUCUCCCUUCGCUUUAAUACACUUCUUACAGCGAUUCAAUAGUGAUUCAAAUGCGUGCUUCAGCUCAUUUUGUGGAAUAGCCUCCAAUGCUCAUGUCGAAGCCGUUUUAAUGGUCUCAACAUCUUCAAAAAAGCAUCCUUUCAACUUCAACUUCAACUUUGGAAACAAGGAGAAGUCCCAAGGCGCCAAAUCAGGUGAAUACGGUGGGUGGUCCAACACACAGACUUGAUUUCGGGCCAAAAACUGACGAACAAUGAUUGAUUUGUGACUCGGCGCAUUGUCGUGCAACAGACACCAUUUCUCUGGAUCGCGAUAUUCGGGUCGAGUACGACGGAUUCUGGCCAUCAAAUGCUUUAAAACUUCAAGACAUUGAUUCCCAAAGUGGUCCAGGUGGACCACUGGGGGUUCACGGGUAACUCGACGGGGGUCUACGUUCGGCGUGACAAAAAAUGGGGGUCUACACUUUGUGUACGGGGGUGCAUGAAAUUUAACUCAGUCUCGAUAGUGAAGAACUAAAAUGUUGGCUUGACUUCUUCUAUCAAUAUCGGCAGAUAAUGUUUUAAGAAGCUCAGCGACUGCUACUUGUAAAAACAUGUAUAAUAAUAUUCCAUAUUCAGUACAACUGUGAAACAGAAGUGGAGAAUGUGAUAUUACAACAGGAGCUACUCGAGCUUAGCACUAAUGAGGAGCUGAAAGUAACAUUUAAAAAAGGGUAUCAAAAAUUUUGGCUGCAGGCAGAAAUACCUAACUAAGACUGUGGACAAUAGCGAAAAAGCUUCUUAUAGCGUUUCCCUCGUUAAAAAAAAAGUUUUAGUGCCGUUACAAACUUAUCAUAUACUUGAAUAUCACAAAACGGGGAGAUUUGCGGUUAUUACUUACAAAACUCAAGCCAGAUAUUGAUAAUUCGCUAACAAAACAUCAAGUAUGUACAUCCAUCUCAUUAAAAUUAUACAUUUUUCGUAGUUACCAUUGUAGAAGUUACAUUACGUUAUAAGUGUUUAAUUUUUAUUACGUUACGACUAUUAUAACAAUAAUAAUUAAUAUUGUAAUAAUUUCAAUAUUUGAAUAUAUACCUACAACACAAUGAAAUACCUA